ensembl:lncRNA
CUGAUUCUCAGCGGAGAAUCUUUGUUCUCUCAGAGAGAAUCUUUGUUCUCGCAGAUCGGCCUGGAAUUGUCGGGGAAAAUGGCCGUCCGGAGGAAAAGGAAGGAUAAUAAUAAAGCUUCCGUCGGGAGAAUUUCACAAAAGCAGAGUCACAUUUCAAAGCAGCUGCCGGUCCCCACUGAGGGGACCCGGGAAGAGACAGCCGCAUCUGUGAGCGCCUGUUUAGUUUCUGUCUGAAACCUGCCAGAAUCCGCACGCGGCUGUCAGCCACCAGCUCACCAUGGUCUUGUUCGAAGACUGCCUCCUGGUUCACAUUGCCUCCUCUCUGUAGAAAGGAGCACGGAAACAGCCCUGCAUCAACCUCACUUCCUAAUGCAUCCAGACCAGACCCUUGCGCUGUUGAAUGAAUAGAUGAACCAUUGAAUGGAUUCACCUUUACCCUAAAGACAGAAUGCCAUCAACCUCCUGUCAUGGUGCGUCAGGAAAGGGUAAGCUGUGAAGGAUGCACUCAUCAUCCAGGAGCCCGUGUGCUGCUGGCACUUUCUUCCAGCUUCAAGAACCCCUGCUCUUUGGGCUGGAAGGUGCCCAGGAGCUGGAGGAACCUCCUAAGGGACAGGAAACAGGGAAGGAACUAGGCAGAGGGGCCCAAGCUGAUCGGAGCCAAGGCUGACCAGUGAGGAAUUGGUUCCAAUUUCUCUGUUUCUGUUUUUGACCUAGUAGACAAAGUGUAAAUACCCAAAGCAAAGCUCAGCUGGGAAAGAAUCUGCCUGCAAUGCAGGAGACCCUGGUUCAAUUCCUGGGUCAGGAAGUUCCCCUAGAGAAGGGAUAGAAUACCCACUCCAGUAUGUUUGGGCUUCCCUGGUAGCUCAGACAGUAAAGAAUCUGCCUGCAAUGUGGGAGACCUGGGUUCAAGGGUUGGGAAGAUCCCCUGGAGGAGGGUGUGGCAACCCACUCCAGUAUUCUUGCCUAGAGAAUCCCCAUGGACCAGAGGAGCCUGGAAGGCUACAGUCCCAGGGGUUGCAAAGACCCAGACAUGAUGAGUGUCUAAGCACACAGACAAAGUAUAAAUAAAUACCCCAAGCAAACAUAUGAACACUCUGUAGACUGUUCCUCAAAGCCUAAGCCAUGGCCCUUCACUGGAUUAGGAAACAAAUUUAAUGGGUCUGGACCAGCAUUUUAUUAUUUUUUAGCCUAAUUUUCAUUUUAUAUUAUAGUUGAUUGACAAUGUUGUAUUAGUUUAAGAUGUGAAAGUGAUUCAUUUGUGAAAAGAGAUUCAGUUAUACAUAUACCUACAUCCACUCUUUUUCAGAUUCUCUUCCCACAUAGGUUAUUACAGAGCAUUGAAUAAAGUUCCCUGUGCUACAUAGUAGGUCCUUGUUGAUUAUCUAUUUCAUACAAAAGUGUGUAUAUGUUAAUCACAAACUCCUACCUUAUCUUUCCCUCUACCUUCCCCCUUUGGUAACCAUAAGUUCAUUUUCUAUGUUUGUGAG